rnacentral:rRNA from 1 species
GAGAUAGCUGGUUCUCCUCGAAAGCUAUUUAGGUAGCGCCUCAUGUAUCACUGUAGGGGGUAGAGCACUGUUUCGGCUAGGGGGUCAUCCCGACUUACCAAACCGAUGCAAACUCCGAAUACCUACAAGUGCCGAGCAUGGGAGACACACGGCGGGUGCUAACGUCCGUCGUGAAAAGGGAAACAACCCAGACCGUCAGCUAAGGUCCCAAAGUCAUGGUUAAGUGGGAAACGAUGUGGGAAGGCUUAGACAGCUAGGAGGUUGGCUUAGAAGCAGCCACCCUUUAAAGAAAGCGU